GACCUGUGACCUGGGAACCCCCAGGCUGUUAGAACUGAACUCAGACACGUCACCCCCAAGAAAGCCACAGCUCCAUCACUGCACUAUGGACAUGGCUGUAAAUAAUCCCUGCUCAAUAAAUCAGAGUGACAAAUGACUGCUCUUCUCUCUCACUGAUGCCCACCAUCAUCCAUGUAUUAUCUCAUCACUCUCUUUUCUUGCUGUUGUGCUUUCCUGCCAAGAGCUGCUGGGGUUUUUUCUGCUGUUCCAGGGGAAAGCCUUCAGGGAUAGUGCUCCCUUCCCCACACAGAGGUGCCCACAGCCAGAUGCAGCAGGGCACAGACUGAGCCUGGGGAGGAGACCAGCCAAGGCAGAUCUCUUCAGACAGGCAACUGACCUUCUUGGCAGCUCCAGCCUGAAGAGAACCAAGUGGAGAGGCCAGGGAUACCAUGCAAGAUCUUUCCUCAGCAAAUAUGGGGUGCUGCUUGGCUGAUGGAAAGAUCCCUUUAAGGAAAAGUGGUGUAACUCUCCUGAUGUAAUCAUUACAUAAGGAUUUCAUCAAAAUGAUAAAGGCGUCAGUAAACAGAGAAUACCCCUGACAGGUCAGAAGUGAUAACAUUUUCCUGACGCAGCACAUAAAUUGCCAAAUCUUCCACUUUCCUCCUGGCCUGGGUGCUGCCAACCCCUGAUGAUCUGGUGUUGUGCUUGCUGGCUCCUGAGAGCCAACAGGUCUGCAAUGGCUGGACUGUGAACCUGGACAAGUGGAAGGACACAGGGCUCUGUGGAGUGGGCCAGCAAAGCAGGUUGCUCACAGCCCUCCAGGCCCAGGAGAUUGGGAGGGGGUGGGCUGCUUUGGAAAUAAACCCUCCACACAUCAGACCUCGCCUGAAGAAGCAGCUUCUCCCUGUGCCUGCUCCAAAAUGGUCCCCUCUCAUGUGCCCUGCAGACAAGCCUUCAGCUGUCUGGGUCUUCCUGGAAGUCCAUACAAACAGGAUUCAACAGCCACACUAAAACCUCAUCCAAGGAUGGGAGUACCCUGAGGGAUAGAACAAAUAUGAUACGACUUGAAAGAGACAAAAUUCAGAUAAGAUGCAGGAAAACCAGACAUGACUCCUCACUUAACUCUUUAGAACUCGCUAGUGGUGGGUGACACUUGUGCAGGAGAAGAGUAAGUUUUAACAGAAGGUUGUCCAGACCAACUUUGAAAAAAGCUUUUCUGAAUCUCUACCUGCAAAUAAAUAAUUCAAAAAGAAACCCUAAAAGUAAAAAAUAAAGAAAGGCUUA